rnacentral:rRNA from 1 species
GACGAACGCUGGCGGCGUGCUUAACACAUGCAAGUCGAACGAUGAAGAAAAGAAUCGUAGCUUCUGCAGAAAUUCAUUUCGGAUUAGUGGCAGACGGGUGAGUAACGCGUGAGCAACCUACCUCUUACAAAGGGAUAGCCUCGGGAAACCGGGAUUAAUACCAUAUAACAUUGUGACGAAGCAUUUCGAUGCAAUCAAAGCUACGGCGGUAAGAGAUGGGCUCGCGUCCCAUUAACCGGAUGGUGAGGUAACGGCUCACCAUAGUGACGAUGGGUAACCGGUCUGAGAGGGUGAACGGUCACACUGGAACUGAGACACGGUCCAGACUCCUACGGGAGGCAGCAGUGGGGAAUAUUGCACAAUGGAGGGAACUCUGAUGCAGCGACGCCGCGUGAGUGAUGAAGGAAUUCGUUUCGUAAAACUCUGUGCCAUGGGAAGAAAAGGACUGUACCAUAGGAGAAAGCUACGGCUAAAUACGUG